rnacentral:rRNA from 1 species
CGUACCUUUUGUAUAAUGGGUCAGCGACUUAUAUUCUGUAGCAAGGUUAACCGAAUAGGGGAGCCGGAGGGAAACCGAGUCUUAACCGGGCGUUAAGUUGCAGGGUAUAGACCCGAAACCCGGUGAUCUAGCCAUGGGCAGGUUGAAGGUUGGGUAACACUAACUGGAGGACCGAACCGACUAAUGUUGAAAAAUUAGCGGAUGACCUGUGGCUGGGGGUGAAAGGCCAAUCAAACCGGGAGAUAGCUGGUUCUCCCCGAAAGCUAUUUAGGUAGCGCCUCGUGAAUUCAUCUCCGGGGGUAGAGCACUGUUUCGGCUAGGGGGCCAUCCCGGCUUACCAACCCGAUGCAAACUGCGAAUACCGGAGAAUGUUAUCACGGGAGACACACGGCGGGUGCUAACGUCCGUCGUGAAGAGGGAAACAACCCAGACCGCCAGCUAAGGUCCCAAAGUCAUGGUUAAGUGGGAAACGAUGUGGGAAGGCCCAGACAGCCAGGAUGUUGGCUUAGAAGCAGCCAUCAUUUAAAGAAAGCGUAAUAGCUCACUGGUCGAGUCGGCCUGCGCGGAAGAUGUAACGGGGCUAAACCAUGCACCGAAGCUGCGGCAGCGACGCUGAUGCGUUGUUGGGUAGGGGAGCGUUCUGUAAGCCUGCGAAGGUGGCCUGUGAGGGUUGCUGGAGGUAUCAGAAGUGCGAAUGCUGACAUAAGUAACGAUAAAGCGGGUGAAAAGCCCGCUCGCCGGAAGACCAAGGGUUCCUGUCCAACGUUAAUCGGGGCAGGGUGAGUCGACCCCUAAGGCGAGGCCGAAAGGCGUAGUCGAUGGGAAACGGGUUAAUAUUCCCGUACUUGGUGUUACUGCGAAGGGGGGACGGAGAAGGCUAUGUUGGCCGGGCGACGGUUGUCCCGGUUUAAGCGUGUAGGCUGGUUUUCCAGGCAAAUCCGGAAAAUCAAGGCUGAGGCGUGAUGACGAGGCACUACGGUGCUGAAGCAACAAAUGCCCUGCUUCCAGGAAAAGCCUCUAAGCAUCAGGUAACAUCAAAUCGUACCCCAAACCGACACAGGUGGUCAGGUAGAGAAUACCAAGGCGCUUGAGAGAACUCGGGUGAAGGAACUAGGCAAAAUGGUGCCGUAACUUCGGGAGAAGGCACGCUGACACGUAGGUGAAGUGAUUUACUCAUGGAGCUGAAGUCAGUCGAAGAUACCAGCUGGCUGCAACUGUUUAUUAAAAACACAGCACUGUGCAAACACGAAAGUGGACGUAUACGGUGUGACGCCUGCCCGGUGCCGGAAGGUUAAUUGAUGGGGUCAGCGCAAGCGAAGCUCCUGAUCGAAGCCCCGGUAAACGGCGGCCGUAACUAUAACGGUCCUAAGGUAGCGAAAUUCCUUGUCGGGUAAGUUCCGACCUGCACGAAUGGCGUAAUGAUGGCCAGGCUGUCUCCACCCGAGACUCAGUGAAAUUGAACUCGCUGUGAAGAUGCAGUGUACCCGCGGCAAGACGGAAAGACCCCGUGAACCUUUACUAUAGCUUGACACUGAACAUUGAGCCUUGAUGUGUAGGAUAGGUGGGAGGCUUUGAAGUGUGGACGCCAGUCUGCAUGGAGCCGACCUUGAAAUACCACCCUUUAAUGUUUGAUGUUCUAACGUGGACCCGUUACCCGGGUUGCGGACAGUGUCUGGUGGGUAGUUUGACUGGGGCGGUCUCCUCCUAAAGAGUAACGGAGGAGCACGAAGGUUGGCUAAUCCUGGUCGGACAUCAGGAGGUUAGUGCAAUGGCAUAAGCCAGCCUGACUGCGAGCGUGACGGCGCGAGCAGGUGCGAAAGCAGGUCAUAGUGAUCCGGUGGUUCUGAAUGGAAGGGCCAUCGCUCAACGGAUAAAAGGUACUCCGGGGAUAACAGGCUGAUACCGCCCAAGAGUUCAUAUCGACGGCGGUGUUUGGCACCUCGAUGUCGGCUCAUCACAUCCUGGGGCUGAAGUAGGUCCCAAGGGUAUGGCUGUUCGCCAUUUAAAGUGGUACGCGAGCUGGGUUUAGAACGUCGUGAGACAGUUCGGUCCCUAUCUGCCGUGGGCGCUGGAGAACUGAGGGGGGCUGCUCCUAGUACGAGAGGACCGGAGUGGACGCAUCACUGGUGUUCGGGUUGUCAUGCCAAUGGCACUGCCCGGUAGCUAAAUGCGGAAGAGAUAAGUGCUGAAAGCAUCUAAGCACGAAACUUGCCCCGAGAUGAGUUCUCCCUGAGACUUAGAGUCUCCUGAAGGAACGUUGAAGACGACGACGUUGAUAGGCCGGGUGUGUAAGCGCAGCGAUGCGUUGAGCUAACCGGUACUAAUGAACCGUGAGGCUUAACCUUACAACGCCGAAG